GCUUAAAACUAUCAGAUUUUUAAAUUCUGAGGAUUUUGGCGAGCGAUAAUCUAUCUACGCGUUUCGGUUCGCAGGCUCAGGAAAAAUUAAACAAAUACCGAGUACUGUUAAACGAGAGGUCGUAACAGCAAAAACAAAAACAACAGAAGACGGCAAGGUUACGGCACUCACGGUGACGAUGAUAAUAACAAACGGUAAUUUUUACGCGG